AAGCGGAGGAACAUGUGGUUUAAUUCGAUGAUACGCGAGGAACCUUACCUGGCUUAAAUGGGAGUGACAGCUGUCGAAAGAUGGUUUUCUUCGGACACUCUUCAAGGUGCUGCAUGGUUGUCGUCAGCUCGUGCCGUGAGGUGUCGGGUUAAGUCCCAUAACGAGCGCAACCCUUACCGUUAGUUACCAUCAGGUUAAGCUGGGGACUCUAGCGGGACUGCCACCGUAAGGUGAGAGGAAGUGGGGAUGACGUCAAAUCAGCACGGCCCUUAUGUCCAGGGCUACACACGUGUUACAAUGGCCAGUACAAAGGGCAGCUACCGGGUGACCGGAUGCUAAUCUCUAAAGCUGGUCUCAGUUCGGAUCGAAGUCUGCAACCCGACUUCGUGAAGCUGGAUUCGCUAGUAAUCGCGCAUCAGCCAUGGCGCGGUGAAUACGUUCCCGGGCCUU
rnacentral:rRNA from 1 species